rnacentral:rRNA from 1 species
CGGCAAUGGAGGAAACUCUGACCGAGCAACGCCGCGUGAACGAUGAAAUAUUUAGGUAUGUAAAGUUCUUUUAUUAAAGAAGAAAAAAUGAUGGAAAAAUCAUUCUGACGGUAUUUAAUGAAUAAGCCCCGGCUAACUAUGUGCCAGCAGCUGCGGUAAUACAUGGGGGGCAAGCGUUAUCCGGAUUUAUUGGGCGUAAAGGGUGUGUAGGCGGUUUAAUAAGUCUAUGGUAUAAGUUCAACGCUUAACGUCGUGAUGCUAUGGAAACUGUCUUGACUAGAGUUGGAUAGAGGCAAGUGGAAUUCCAUGUGUAGCGGUAAAAUGCGUAAAUAUAUGGAGGAACACCAGUAGCGAAGGCGGCUUGCUGGGUCUUAACUGACGCUGAGGCACGAAAGCGUGGGGAGCAAACAGGAUUAGAUACCCUGGUAGUCCACGCCGUAAACGAUGAGUACUAAGUGUUGGGUUAAACCAGUGCUGAAGUUAACACAUUAAGUACUCCGCCUGAGUAGUACGUACGCAAGUAUGAAACUUAAAGGAAUUGACGGGACUCCGCACAAGCGGUGGAUCAUGUUGUUUAAUUCGAAGAUACACGAAAAACCUUACCAGGUCUUGACAUACUCUGCAAAGCUAUAGAAAUAUAGUGGAGGUUAUCAGGGAUAUAGGUGGUGCAUGGUUGUCGUCAGCUCGUGUCGUGAGAUGUUGGGUUAAGUCCCGCAACGAGCGCAACCCUUAUCGCUAGUUACCAUCAUUUAGUUGGGCACUUUAGUGAGACUGCCAAUGAUAAAUUGGAGGAAGGUGGGGAUUACGUCAAAUCAUCAUGCCCCUUAUGACCUGGGCUACAAACGUGAUACAAUGGC